UAACCUGCCCAAGAGAUCGGGAUAACACCUGGAAACAGAUGCUAAUACCGGAUAANAACAGAUGAUGCCUAUCAACUGUUUAAAAGAUGGUUCUGCUAUCACUCUUGGAUGGACCUGCGGUGCAUUAGCUAGUUGGUAGGGUAACGGCCUACCAAGGCGAUGAUGCAUAGCCGAGUUGAGAGACUGAUCGGCCACAUUGGGACUGAGACACGGCCCAAACUCCUACGGGAGGCAGCAGCU
rnacentral:rRNA from 1 species